UACGUAGGGUGCGAGCGUUGUCCGGAAUUAUUGGGCGUAAAGGGCUCGUAGGCGGUUUGUCGCGUCGGGAGUGAAAACCCAGGGCUUAACUCUGGGCUUGCUUUCGAUACGGGCAGACUAGAGGUAUGCAGGGGAGAACGGAAUUCCUGGUGUAGCGGUGAAAUGCGCAGAUAUCAGGAGGAACACCGGUGGCGAAGGCGGUUCUCUGGGCAUGAUCUGACGCUGAGGAGCGAAAGUGUGGGGAGCGAACAGG
rnacentral:rRNA from 1 species